UACGGGGGGGCAAGCGUUGUUCGGAAUUACUGGGCGUAAAGGGCUCGUAGGUGGCCAACUAAGUCACACGUGAAAUCCCUCGGCUUAACCGGGGAACUGCGUCUGAUACUGGAUGGCUCGAGUGUGGGAGAGGGAUGCGGAAUUCCAGGUGUAGCGGUGAAAUGCGUAGAUAUCUGGAGGAACACCGGUGGCGAAGGCGGCAUCCUGGACCAUAACUGACACUGAUAAGCGAAAGCCAGGGGAGCAAACGGG
rnacentral:rRNA from 1 species